CUGGCUUGAAAACUAAAUGAUGAAACAUCACUGGUUUCUUACCAUAAUGAGCUGAAAGACCAUUGGUAGGAUCCUACUACGUUUGAUCAACCUGAAAAGGAGAAGAAAAAGAGAAAAUACACUUUAGGGUGGAGUUCUGGUACAAUGACUUCUGUCUAGUACCAGUGGAAUUGUGAGAAGAAAAAGAGAAGAAGCGAUGCGAGCAGAUGAAGUAAAAGCAGAUGUGAUGGAUGGCCUCCUAUUAGAGAGGUGACAGGCUCAGAGAUGAGAGGACAGGCCAGGCCAGCACAACAUGAUAAACUGGACCACCUUUAAACUACCAGCCAUUCAUCAGGACAACAGCAUACAAUGAACAGGGUUCAACAGACAACCUAUAAUAGGAAAACACAGACGAGACUACGCUGCACUGCAUCAUCAUCACAUCACACAUUCACUCAACAGCUGUUUUAUUAGAGUUUCUCCUUCCUAGUUCCUCCUCCUAUCCUUUUUCUGGCACCUUUAUCCACUUCCCUUCCUCAAUCUUUCUGCCUCCUCUCUUUUCACCCACACUUUCUAUCCCUGCCAACAGCUGAGAAGAGAAGACAGAUGACCAGAGAAUCAAGACUUACUGACAGCUGCUGUCAAAGCACAUCUAUCAAACACACAUACAUCAUCGUGCACACACAUGUGUACACACACACACACACACACACACACACACGCACACACAAGUGAGUCAUCUCAUGGCUAGACAAGGAAUCAGCAAAUUUCCUGUGCAACAGUAACACAUCAUUACCACUUUUUAUUUGGGUGUCAGAUGACUGCUUUUUUAAGAGAUGUUUUUUAAAUUCCUGCAUAGUGAAUUACUUCCACAUUAUGCAGUAGUGAAUCUCACUUCAACACCAGCAAUAAUUUUGUCUUAGUGUCGUAUAUUUAAAGAGCGUGCGGCGCAUUUUUAAGCAAAGCUUCUCUGGACUAGCUAGUGUGCCAAGGUAUA